ACCCACCUGCUCGAUUUCCUUUAGCUUCUUGUGAUAGUGCUCCAACUUUUUGUGCAAGUGUGCGAUAGUCUGUGCCGACUUUUGGUUCUUCUUCUCAAACACCUGUUUGAUCCUAGACGCCUGCUGCUUGUCGGCGUUGUGGGCCAACUUCAGGUGCUCCAGGGCGGCCCGCGUCCGAUGAGGCUCGCCGGCCCCCAUGCCGCCCUCCGCGCCUGCUGCUGUGACCCCCGAUGAUGACCCCGCCGCUCCCUCUGCGCUGAUGUUACUGUCAGAGCCGCCAUGGCUGGUGGUGGCGGGGAGGCUGAGCGUCGUCGCCUCGCUCUUGUCCAGCUGCGAGGAUGAGAAGGUACAGUCAUAAACAACAUAAACGAACACCUGCGAAAGGGGUGAUGAUUCAGAAUGGAUUCUUGAUUUGGUGAACGUCGUUUUGUCCUAAUAAUUUCGGCGGUUCUUGAACUCACCAUAGUGUGAACUGUGACGCAACAGUUUGUUUACAUGUAAAAUCUUCCACUCCUUCUUUGUCUCAUUUUGUCCACCAAAAGUUUCAUGCUCUGCGUAAAUGCCCAAAGGUGCACUUUGUUGAUGUUAGGGCAGGGGUCACCAACCUUUUUGAAAUCAAGGGCUACUUCUUGGGUACUGAUUAAUGCGAAGGGCUACCAGUUAGAUACACACUUAAAUAAAUUGCCAGAAGUAGCCAAUUUGCUCAAUUUACCUUUAACUCUGUUAUUAUUAAUAAUUAAUGAUAUUUAUCUUUGUGGAAACACUGAUCAUCUUAAUGAUUUCUCACAAUAAAUAUAUAUAGAAACAGAUAAAUAUCAAUAUGCAACACUUUAUUUUUAUAUUUUCUCUAAGUGCACAUUUUUCAAAUUGAACAUUUUCAAAUGAUCACUUCUAAGACAGUUUUGUGAAAUCACAAUAUCCCAUUUUAACUAGCU